AAUAGCUCACUGGUCGAGUGAUUCUGCGCCGAAAAUUUCCGGGGCUAAAACUUACUACCGAAGCUACGGCAUCAUUAUGAUGGGUAGGGGAGCUUUCUAUGUGGCUUGAAGCAUGACCGUAAGGACAUGUGGACUGCAUAGAAGUGAGAAUGUUGGCAUGAGUAGCGAGAUGUGGGUGAGAAUCCCACAGGCCGUAAACCCAAGGUUUCCAGGGGAAGGUUCGUCCGCCCUGGGUUAGUCAGGACCUAAGCCGAGGCCGAAAGGCGUAGGUGAUGGACAACAGGUUGAUAUUCCUGUACCACCAAUAACCGUUUGAGAAAUGGGAUGACACAGUAGGAUAAGCUAACCGCACUGUUGGUUAUGUGCGGGCAAGUAUUGAGGCAGUUCCGAUAGGCAAAUCCGUCGGAAUAAUGCUGGGGUACGAUGCGGAGCGAAAUUUAGUAGCGAAGUAGCUGAUUUCACACUGUCGAGAAAAGUCUCUAUCGAGGUUAAAGGUGCCUGUACCGCAAACCGACACAGGUGGGUGAGGAGAGUAUCCUAAGGCCAGCGAGAGAACUGUUGUUAAGGAACUCGGCAAAAUGACCCCGUAACUUCGGGAGAAGGGGUGCCUUCGAAAGAAGGCCGCAGAGAAUAGGCCCAAGCGACUGUUUACCAAAAACAUAGGUUUCUGCUAAGUCGCAAGACGAUGUAUAGGAGCUGACGCCUGCCCGGUGCUGGAAGGUUAAGGGGAUCUGUUAGAGCAAUCGAAGCAGUGAACUUAAGCCCCAGUAAACGGCGGCCGUAACUAUAACGGUCCUAAGGUAGCGAAAUUCCUUGUCGGGUAAGUUCCGACCCGCACGAAAGGCGUAACGAUUUGGGCACUGUCUCAACAACAGACCCGGUGAAAUUGUAAUACCGGUGAAGAUGCCGGUUACCUGCGACAGGACGGAAAGACCCCAUGGAGCUUUACUGUAGCUUGACAUUGAGUCUCGGUGCUACAUGUACAGGAUAGGUGGGAGACUAUGAAGCAUGGACGUCAGUCUGUGUGGAGUCAUCCUUGGGAUACCACCCUUGUAGUACUGGGAUUCUAACCAGAGGCCAUGAAUCUGG
rnacentral:rRNA from 1 species